rnacentral:tRNA from 1 species
CUGAAUGUAGCGCAGUUUGGCAGCGCAUACGCCUUGGGAGCGUAGGGUCGCAGGUUCGAAUCCUGCCAUUCAGACCA